rnacentral:rRNA from 1 species
CCUACGGGUGGCAGCAGUGGGGAAUAUUGCACAAUGGGGGAAACCCUGAUGCAGCAACGCCGCGUGGGCGAAGAAGGAUUUCGGUAUGUAAAACCCUAUCAGCAGGGAAGAAAAAAUGAGGAUGCCUGAGUAAGAGUCACCGCCUAAAUACAUGCCAGCAGCCGCGGUAAUACGUAGGGUGCAGGCGUUAUCCGGAUUUAGUGGGGGUAAAGGGAGCGCAGGCGGCACGGCAAGCCUGAUGUGAAAGCCCGCGGCCCAACCGUGGGACUGCAUUGGGAACUACCGGGCUGGAGUGCCGGAGAGGUAGGCGGAAUUCCUAGUGUAGCGGUGAAAUGCGUAGAUAUUAGGAGGAACACCAGUGGCGAAGGCGGCCUACUGGACGGUGACUGACGCUGAGGCUCGAAAGCGUGGGGAGCAAACAGGAUUAGAUACCCCAGUAGUC